GCUUCCGUGGCGCAACAGGCAGCGCGUUUGGCUGUGACCGAAAAGUUAGUGGUUCGAGACCACCCGGGGCU
rnacentral:tRNA from 1 species